CAAAGAUUAAGCCAUGCAUGUGUCAGUACGAGCCUUCCUUAGUGUGAAACCGCAAACGGCUCAUUAAAUCAGUCAUAAUUUACUGGAUGUCGGUUAUCCGUUUACUCGGAUAACUGUGGCAAUUCUAGAGCUAAUACGUGCAACUGAGCUCCGACACCCAGCCGAUAUUCGCGCGGCGAGUCUCCGACUCGUCGCGGGCUCUGUCGGUUCGGGCGGAAGGGCGCAAUUAUUAGAAUCACAAACCGAGCGGGCUUCCGGGCCCGUCCAUUAACCGUUUCGGUUGUGAUGACUCUGGAUAAUCUUGCCGAGCGAUGAGGCCUUAGCGCCGACGCUGCGUCCUUCGAGAGACUGCCUUAUCAGCUUUCGAUCGUAGGUUAGACGCCUACGAUGGCUGUAACGGGUAACGGGGAAUCAGGGUUCGAUUCCGGAGAGGGAGCCUGAGAAACGGCUACCACAUCUAAGGAAGGCAGCAGGCACGCAAAUUACCCACUCCUGGCUCUGGGAGGUAGUGACGAUAAAUAACGAUGCGGGACUCAUCCGAGGCCUCGCAAUCGGAAUGAGAUCAGUCUAAACCUUUGGACGAGGAUCCAUUGGAGGGCAAGUCUGGUGCCAGCAGCCGCGGUAAUUCCAGCUCCAAUAGCGUAUAUUAAAGUUGCUGCGGUUAAAAAGCUCGUAGUUUGACUUUAGGCCCGUACCGGGGGUCCACCCAAGGAGGGCGCCUCGCGGAGGAUAUCUCCUUCAGGUGGGGGCAAACGCGUUUCAAGCAAAGACCGAGACUUCGUCAGUGCGUGUCGAAGCGGAGUUAAAGAGCGAAGCGAGGGGGAGGCGUUGUUGGAUUGACGGUGGUCGUGGUUCGCGCUGGUUCGGUGGCGUUGCUUGUGUAGCGGGCGCGGUGUGUGGCGUGUGGUGGUUGUUGUUUCGUUGUUUGUUGCGCGCAUAGCGAGAAAGAGGCUUCAACGGUAUCGGCUCGCGUCGUUUGCCGUUGCGGUCACCCUGCUGCCGCUACUGCCGCAGCAGCAGCUGCAGCUUUCGCUUCCCCACCCACCAUCGUUGUUCGUCCAUCACUCGCUCUCACCAACCACGCUCGUGUCCCUUCCAUCUCUCCCCUCGCCGUUAUAUCCCUCGCUGCGUUUUCCGUUUCGCGCGCGCUCGUCGUAGCUCUCGUUCGUUAAAAUGUUUUUGACGCGCCUCGCUAGAGAAACCUCUCGCGAGAUCCGUUCUCCCGGUGGUUAACCCACUCGGCUACGGGCUUUUAAGAAACCAGUCGGUUCUCGCGGGGUGCUCUUUACCGAGUGUCUCGCGUGGCCGGCAACGUUCACUUUGAAAAAAUUAGAGUGCUCAAAGCAGGCAAAAUUUCACGCCUGAAUGUAUAUGCUUAGGAUGAAGGAACAGGACCUCGGUUCUGCGAUUAUUUUUCUCUCGGUUUUUUCCGAACCCCGAGGUAAUGAUUAACGGGAGCGGACGGGGGCAUUGGUAUUGCGACGCGAGAGGUGAAAUUCUAAGACCGUCGCAAGACUAACUACUGCGAAAGCAUUUGCCAAGAACGCUUUCAUUAAUCAAGAACGAAAGUUAGAGGAUCGAAGGCGAUCAGAUACCGCCCUAGUUCUAACCUUAAACGAUGCCAACUAGCGAUCCGCUUAAGUCAUUCCCACGACUGAGCGGGCAGCCCCUGGGAAACCAAAGUUUUUGGGUUCCGGGGGAAGUAUGGUUGCAAAGCUGAAACUUAAAGGAAUUGACGGAAGGGCACCACCAGGAGUGGAGCCUGCGGCUUAAUUUGACUCAACACGGGAAACCUCACCAGGCCCAGACACCGGAAGGAUUGACAGAUUGAGAGCUCUUUCUCGAUUCGGUGGUUGGUGGUGCAUGGCCGUUCUUAGUUGGUGGAGCGAUCUGUCUGGUUAAUUCCGAUAACGAACGAGACUCUACCCUAUUAACUAGUCGGUAGAUCGUUUCCCGAGUCGGGUUCCCCUUUCGCGGAGGGUUUCGGCGCGCGGGGUACGGCGGGCUCUCUCUUUUUCGGCUCUUGCCGCUUUGCGGGAAAAACGGCGCGCGCGCGCUCGCGCGAUCCAACUUAUUAUUAUUUAUCAGCUGCUUACGUAGUUGAUGAUGGUGGUGAGAAGGGUCGUGCGUGUUGCGUGUGUCGUCGGAGUAACUCGUAAACGUGGCUUUGUCGAAGGGGGAGGGUUCGUUCCCGCGUUUUGCUUUCUUUCCGCGGAGGGCCCGGCGAGGGGCGUCUAUCGCAAUAUCUUCUUAGAGGGAUCAGCGGUUUCCAGCCGCACGAGAGAGAGCAAUAACAGGUCUGUGAUGCCCUUAGAUGUUCUGGGCCGCACGCGCGCUACAAUGAAAGGAGCAGCGUGCUUUCCCCCUCCGAAAGGAGUGGGUAACCCGAUGAAACCCUUUCCCGAUUGGGAUUGGGGAUUGUAAGUGUUUCCCAUGAACGAGGAAUUCCCAGUAAGCGCAAGUCAUUAGCUUGCGAUGAUUACGUCCCUGCCCUUUGUACACACCGCCCGUCGCUACUACCGAUUGAAUGAUUCAGUGAGGGCGUUGGACUGGCGCCCUCGGCAGCUCUCGGUACGCGCGUUUCCACUUUUUACGUGCCCUUCGGGGUUACAUUGAAGAGGCCGCUGCCGAACGGGCGCCCCGGGCACGCCGGAAAGACGUCCGAACUUGAUCAUU
rnacentral:rRNA from 1 species